rnacentral:rRNA from 1 species
AUUGAACGCUGGCGGCAUGCCUUACACAUGCAAGUCGAACGGUAACGCGGGGCAACCUGGCGACGAGUGGCGAACGGGUGAGUAAUGUAUCGGAACGUGCCCAGUUGUGGGGGAUAACUGCUCGAAAGAGCAGCUAAUACCGCAUACGACCUGAGGGUGAAAGCGGGGGAUCGCAAGACCUCGCGCAAUUGGAGCGGCCGAUAUCAGAUUAGGUAGUUGGUGGGGUAAAGGCCUACCAAGCCGACGAUCUGUAGCUGGUCUGAGAGGACGACCAGCCACACUGGGACUGAGACACGGCCCAGACUCCUACGGGAGGCAGCAGUGGGGAAUUUUGGACAAUGGGGGCAACCCUGAUCCAGCCAUGCCGCGUGCGGGAAGAAGGCCUUCGGGUUGUAAACCGCUUUUGUCAGGGAAGAAAAGACUCCUACUAAUACUGGGGGUUCAUGACGGUACCUGAAGAAUAAGCACCGGCUAACUACGUGCCAGCAGCCGCUGUAAAAC